UACGUAGGGUGCAGGCGUUAAUCGGAAUUACUGGGCGUAAAGCGUGCGCAGGCGGUUUCUUAAGUCAGAUGUGAAAGCCCCGGGCUUAACCUGGGAACUGCGUUUGAAACUGGGAGACUUGAGUGUGGCAGAGGGGGGUGGAAUUCCACGUGUAGCAGUGAAAUGCGUAGAUAUGUGGAGGAACACCGAUGGCGAAGGCAGCCCCUGGGUUAACACUGACGCUCAUGCACGAAAGCGUGGGGAGCAAACAGG
rnacentral:rRNA from 1 species